rnacentral:rRNA from 1 species
CAGUCGCCGCGGUAAUACGAAGGGGGCUAGCGUUGUUCGGAGUUACUGGGCGUAAAGGGCGCGUAGGCGGCCAUUCAAGUUAGAUGUGAAAGCCCUGGGCUCAACCUAGGAAUUGCAUUUGAUACUGUUUGGCUUGAGUUCGGGAGAGGUGAGUGGAAUUCCGAGUGUAGAGGUGAAAUUCGUAGAUACUCGGAAGAACACCAGUGGCGAAGGCGGCUCACUGGCUCAUUCUAGACGCUGAGGUGCGAAAGCGUGGGGAGCAAACAGGAUUAGAUACCCCAGUAGUCCCUGUCUCUUAUAA